GGAGGCNACUCUGAUCCAGCCAUGCCGCGUGCAGGAAGACUGCCCUAUGGGUUGUAAACUGCUUUUAUACAGGAAGAAACACUCUCACGUGUGAGAGCUUGACGGUACUGUAAGAAUAAGGAUCGGCUAACUCCGUGCCAGCAGCCGCGGUAAUACGGAGGAUCCAAGCGUUAUCCGGAAUCAUCUGGGUCCCAAAGGGUCCGGAGGUGGAUAAU
rnacentral:rRNA from 1 species